rnacentral:rRNA from 1 species
UACGUAGGUGGCAAGCGUUAUCCGGAAUUACUGGGUGUAAAGGGCGCGCAGGCGGCCCUGCAAGUCGGAUGUGAAAGAUCAAGGCUCAACCUUGACAGGCCAUUCGAAACUGUGGGACUUGAGUGUCAGAGGGGAAAGUGGAAUUCCUAUGGAGCGGUAAAAUGCGCAGAUAUUAGGAGGAACGCCGGUGGCGAAGGCGACUUUCUGGCUGACAACUGACGCUGAGGCGCGAAAGCGUGGGGAGGCAAACAGGAUUAGAUACCCCCGUA